rnacentral:rRNA from 1 species
CACGUAGGGCGCAAGCGUUGUCCGGAAUUAUUGGGCGUAAAGAGCUCGUAGGCGGUCUGUUGCGUCCGCUGUGAAAACUCGGGGCUUAACCCCGAGCCUGCAGUGGAUACGGGCAGACUAGAGGUAGGUAGGGGAGAAUGGAAUUCCCGGUGUAGCGGUGAAAUGCGCAGAUAUCGGGAGGAACACCGGUGGCGAAGGCGGUUCUCUGGGACGGUACUGACGCUGAGACGCGAAAGCGUGGGGAAGCGAACAGGGGA